GCCCAGGUGGCGGAACUGGCAGACGCGCUAGCUUCAGGAGCUAGUGGGGUCAAACCCGUGGAGGUUCAAAUCCUCUCCUGGGCA
rnacentral:tRNA from 3 species